rnacentral:rRNA from 1 species
UACGUAGGGUGCAAGCGUUGUCCGGAAUUAUUGGGCGUAAAGAGCUCGUAGGCGGCUUGUCGCGUCGACCGUGAAAACUCGCAGCUCAACUGCGAGCCUGCGGUCGAUACGGGCAGGCUAGAGUUCGGUAGGGGAGACUGGAAUUCCUGGUGUAGCGGUGAAAUGCGCAGAUAUCAGGAGGAACACCGAUGGCGAAGGCAGGUCUCUGGGCCGAUCCUGACGCUGAGACGCGAAGGCGUGGGGAGCGAACGGG